UACAGAGGUCUCAAGCGUUGUUCGGAUUCAUUGGGCGUAAAGGGUGCGUAGGUGGCGCCAUAAGUCAGGUGUGAAAUCUCCGGGCUUAACUCGGAAAGGUCAACUGAUACUGUGCGACUAGAGUGCAGAAGGGGCAACUGGAAUUCUCGGUGUAGCGGUGAAAUGCGUAGAUAUCGAGAGGAACACCUGCGGCGAAGGCGGGUUGCUGGGCUGACACUGACGCUGAUGCGCGAAAGCCAGGGGAGCGAACGGG
rnacentral:rRNA from 1 species